rnacentral:rRNA from 1 species
UACGUAGGGGGCUAGCGUUGUCCGGAAUCAUUGGGCGUAAAGAGCGUGUAGGCGGCCCGGUAAGUCCGCUGUGAAAGUCGGGGGCUCAACCCUCGGAUGCCGGUGGAUACUGUCGGGCUCGAGUACGGAAGAGGCGAGUGGAAUUCCUGGUGUAGCGGUGAAAUGCGCAGAUAUCAGGAGGAACACCUAUUGCGAAGGCAGCUCGCUGGGACGUUACUGACGCUGAGACGCGAAAGCGUGGGGAGCUAACAGG